GACAGAGGUGCCAAGCGUUAGGCGGAAUCACUGGGCUUAAAGCGUGUGUAGGCGGAUCGUUAAGUACCUUGUGAAAUCCCACGGCUCAACCGUGGAACUGCUGGGUAUACUGGCGAUCUUGAGCCACCUAGGGGCGAGCGGAACAAGCGGUGGAGCGGUGAAAUGCGUAGAUAUCGCUUGGAACGCCAAUGGUGAAAACAGGUAGCUGGGGCUGUGCUGACACUGAGACACGAAAGCCAGGGGAGCGAACGGG
rnacentral:rRNA from 1 species